AACGCACAUUGCGCCCUCUGGUAUUCCGGGGGGCAUGCCUGUUCGAGCGUCAUUACAACCCUCAAGCUCUGCUUGGUAUUGGGCUCCACCAACCUUGGUGCGCCUUAAAAUCAGUGGCGGUGCCAUUCGGCUUCAAGCGUAGUAAUUUCUCUCGCUUUGGAGGUCCGGGUGUGUUCCUGCCAGCAACCCCAAUUUUUUCAAGGUUGACCUCGGAUCAGGUAGGGAUACCCGCUGAACUUAA
rnacentral:misc_RNA from 1 species